rnacentral:rRNA from 1 species
UACGUAGGGUGCAAGCGUUAAUCGGAAUUACUGGGCGUAAAGCGUGCGCAGGCGGCUUUGCAAGACAGAUGUGAAAUCCCCGGGCUUAACCUGGGGACUGCAUUUGUGACUGCAUGGCUGGAGUGCGGCAGAGGGGGAUGGAAUUCCGCGUGUAGCAGUGAAAUGCGUAGAUAUGCGGAGGAAAACCGAUGGCGAAGGCAAUCCCCUGGGCCUGCACUGACGCUCAUGCACGAAAGCGUGGGGAGCAAACAGG